CUAUGUUUUAAUAUUGCUUAGUACAGUUUUUUUUAUUUUUUACGGGUUACCUCAAAGACAUAAUGUCAAGGGCUACUUGUUUGCUACUUGUAUUUAUUUGUAAAAGAAGAAACAAACUGUUUUCUAUAAAAGUCUGGAAUUCAUGAAAUACAGUAACCUAAACACAUUUAGUAUGGAUAUAACUGCAAAAACUACCAUAGCUUCAUAACAAAAAUAAUUCUGUAAUUAUACUGCAUUAUUCCUGUAACAGGUAAUACAGUCUUGAGCCCUGAUUCACAGUGGUUGUCUGAUGGCAAGUUGGAUGGAGUGAUUUUUACAAUGGCAACUCACAGACUCAAUGUGGGCACCUUGUUGGAAACCGCUUGUUUAAUAUAUUGCUUCUCCACAAAUCCACUUUUCCUUGAUUCUGCUGCUUUGGCUGCACCAGCUGUGGAAACCUGACCUGGUGAGGACCCUCUCUCCUCCAUCCUCCAUUGAACCUCUUAUCACACUCGGACAAGGACAGACCAGCCUGUGAUGUCCUAAGACACCCAAAUCCUCCCCUGGUCCACGAUCAUCCCCACACCUGUGUCUCAUCACAGUCCAUCAGCAGUGUCUGCACCCUGCCUACUGCCAAUAUUAUGGAUUUCUGUUCUGUUAGAGAUAUGCCAUUCACAACAAGCUGUACACAAAUCAUUUAGUCUUGCCUAACAGUUUCCCUCAUUUGUUUCUGUUCACAAUGUAGCAUGGUCUCUCCUACCUUUGUGCAUUCAGUUGUUAAAGUAUGUCCUUAAUAUUUGUAUUAUUUGAUUAUAUUUUAAGUUUAUUAUUUAAAAGCAAAUUCACUUA